rnacentral:rRNA from 1 species
AGAGUUUGAUCCUGGCUCAGGAUGAACGCUAGCGGCAGGCUUAAUACAUGCAAGUCGUGGGGCAGCACAGAGUAGCAAUACUUGGGUGGCGACCGGCAAACGGGUGCGGAACACGUACGCAACCUUCCUACAGGCGGGGAAUAGCCCAGAGAAACUUGGAUUAAUACCCCAUAAAAUUUUGAGAUGGCAUCAUCUUAUUAUUAAAGCCUCGGCACCUGAAGAUGGGCGUGCGGCUGAUUAGGUAGUUGGCGGGGUAACGGCCCACCAAGCCUACGAUCAGUAGCUGAUGUGAGAGCAUGAUCAGCCACACGGGCACUGAGACACGGGCCCGACUCCUACGGGAGGCAGCAGUAAGGAAUAUUGGUCAAUGGACGCAAGUCUGAACCAGCCAUGCCGCGUGGAGGAUGAAGGUCCUCUGGAUUGUAAACUUCUUUUAUCUGGGACGAAAAAAGGGUUUUCUAACUCGUCUGACGGUACCAGAUGAAUAAGCACCGGCUAACUCCGUGCCAGCAGCCGCGGUAAUACGGAGGGUGCAAGCGUUAUCCGGAUUCACUGGGUUUAAAGGGUGCGUAGGCGGGCAUUUAAGUCAGUGGUGAAAUACCUGAGCUUAACUUGGGAACUGCCAUUGAUACUAUUUGUCUUGAAUGUCGUGGAGGUUAGCGGAAUAUGUCAUGUAGCGGUGAAAUGCUUAGAUAUGACAUAGAACACCUAUUGCGAAGGCAGCUAACUACGCGAAUAUUGACGCUGAGGCACGAAAGCGUGGGGAUCAAACAGGAUUAGAUACCCUGGUAGUCC